AUUGAACGCUGGCGGCAUGGUUAAAACAUGCAAGUCGAACGCGAAAGCGGGGCAACCCGCGAGUAGAGUGGCGAAAGGGCGAGUAAUGCGUUUCUAACGUACCCCAGACUUAGGGAUAGCUCGGAGAAAUUCGAGGUAAUACCUGAUGAUGUUGAUGGGCCGCAUGGUCUAUCAACCAAAGGCUUGCUGGUCUGGGAGCGGGGAACGUCCUAUCAGCUAGUUGGUGAGGUAAUAGCUCACCAAGGCGAAGACGGGUAGCGGGUGUGAGAGCACGGCCCGCGCAUCGGGACUGAGACACUGCCCGGACUCCUACGGGAGGCUGCAGUAACGAAUAUUCCGCAAUGGGC
rnacentral:rRNA from 1 species